CCGACGUUACAUCGGCGGCUAACAGGGCCGGAUAUUAUCUGGGCACCAGUCUGGAGGCGAAAGAAAGGGUGCAUGCAAGUCUUCUACUGCAGUGUGCUUGUUGUGCUUCUUGUUGCUGGCGGUGUUGUUGUCACUUGUUUCGAACCGCAUGUGGAAUGACACUAAGUCGGGGCUUGUGUGUUUUAGACCCACGUUGGCACCAACAUCCGGUUUAGCCCAUCUUUAGACACGGAUUAGACCCCGGUUAGGCUGCUCUUGGGUCUGUUUUAGAUCCGGUCGCAUUCUGCAAUUCUUGUGCAGGGGUCGAUGAGAUGGUAGCUUACGCACCACGCGAUAGAUGGCUUUUAUGAGGGGCGUGCGAGACCCAGAUGGGGGCUACACCACGGCCGCCAACACGAGGUAGGUGCAACAAGUGCCGCGAGACCGCUACAUGGCCCCAUUCUAGACAUGACAUCACCGCCCACCAACCCCGACGUCAGUUUCACCAGCCCAAAGUCCAGCUAAACUGCUGCCGAACUCUUGGCCAGACAUGUGAAUCAGGCGGUUUCGGAAGCGACACUAGUUCAACAGCCACUACUGGUAGCUACGGUACGAGUAGUGCAAACACUUGCACCGGAAGGGCGUUCCAUCUACAACUACUGUAAGCUCGAGCGCCGCCCACUUGCACCGUAGCCCAGCGAUGCCAGUACCCCUACCAGUACACAAUGUCGUGUACGACUCGAACAUACCAACACGUACAUACCACACAAACCCCACAAGCGGCUGAAAGAAACUCCUUCUAGCUCCUUCACCUGCACAAAAGAAGCGUUUGCUCUACAAUUACCGUACCACACCGUACCGUACUGUACCAAUUGCUAUCUCCUCGCCAACUCAGAAUAAUAUCGGACGCCUACAAAUAUUAUCGCCGGACUGGUUCCACUGCGUUAGUGUGCUGUGGAUGCAGCCCUGGGCACAAACGAUCCAUCCAUCACUGAGUCAAUGGAACAAGCUGAAGGAAUUACACAGCAGUAACAAUGGCAGUAACAAUGGCAUUACUGAGUCAAUCAGACAAGACAAGAAGCCGAGACAACCGAAUUGCGUGACAAACGAAUUGUUUCGUGAUAAACAAUUGCUUUGCUUUGUAUCGUCUUAUCUAUCAUCACUCGUACCACAU
rnacentral:misc_RNA from 1 species